GACGAACGCUGGCGGCGUGCCUAAUACAUGCAAGUCGAGCGAAGUUUUUCUGGUGCUUGCACUAGAAAAACUUAGCGGCGAACGGGUGAGUAACACGUAAAGAACCUGCCUCAUAGACUGGGACAACUAUUGGAAACGAUAGCUAAUACCGGAUAACAGUAUUUCUCGCAUGAGAGAUAUUUAAAAGUUGGUUAUGCUAACACUAUGAGAUGGCUUUGCGGUGCAUUAGCUAGUUGGUGGGGUAAAGGCCCACCAAGGCGACGAUGCAUAGCCGACCUGAGAGGGUGAUCGGCCACACUGGGACUGAGACACGGCCCAGACUCCUACGGGAGGCAGCAGUAGGGAAUCUUCCGCAAUGGGCGAAAGCCUGACGGAGCAACGCCGCGUGAGUGGGGAAGGAUUUCGGUUCGUAAAGCUCUGUUGUUAGGGAAGAAUGGAUAUGUAGUAACUAUACAUGUAAGAGACGGUACCUAACCAGAAAGCCACGGCUAACUACGUG
rnacentral:rRNA from 1 species